UUUGCAUUAGAAUUCACGAAUAUGAUGCAUUGCAUAAUACGAUGACAAUGAUGUGGAUGGAUACUGGAUGAUCCUCUAGCCCUCAGUAUGUUAUGACAUGAUAUGGAAUGAUAUGAUAUGGCAUGUACGAUAUGAUAUGAGAUGAGAAGUCCAGGUGUGGCCGUAUCGCCCCUGGCAUAGAGCAUGAGAAGUCCAGGUGUGGCCGUAUCGCCCCUGGCAUAGAGCAUAUGAAGUCCAGGCGUGGCCGUAUCGCCCCUGGCAUAGAGUAUUGUUGACUUGUUA
rnacentral:lncRNA from 1 species